UUCAUGGCUUUAUAGUGAAUCCUGUAAAUAAGGAUUAUAUUCUCAGAUCCUGGUAACAUAUCAUAUCCUGAGGUUUUUAUAUCUAAGGAUAAGGCUUUCAUCACAUGUGGGUCUCUUACUGAGAUUGUAAAAUUGGGAUAGCACGAAAAAUAAAUUGGGCCAUCACAGAGAGAUGAUUCAACUAUUCCUAAUAAGGAAUCAUUAAAGUUAUUGUGUCUUUUAUCUCUGACACAG
rnacentral:misc_RNA from 1 species